UACAGAGGUGGCAAGCGUUGUUCGGAAUUACUGGGCGUAAAGGGCGCGUAGGUGGCCCGGUCAGUUCGUGGUGAAAGCGCGGGGCUCAACCCUGCGUCGGCCAUGAAUACUGCCGCGGCUGGAGCACUGUAGAGGCAGGCGGAAUUCCGGGUGUAGCGGUGGAAUGCGUAGAGAUCCGGAAGAACACCGGUGGCGAAGGCGGCCUGCUGGGCAGUUGCUGACACUGAGGCGCGACAGCGUGGGGAGCAAACAGG
rnacentral:rRNA from 1 species